AGACACAGUCAGCUGUUGGGGAUCAGAGGCGACACUCAUUGUAGCAGAGAGGCAGGACCAACUGGGAGAGGGUCCUUCUGUGACAACUAUUGCAUCACCGGGCUGUGUGAAGUGACUCAGCUGCCAGAACUCACACAAUAUCAUUCUACACCAAACCUCACGGGAAAAAUGGUCCACGACCCUCAGACUUAAACAGCAGCACUGGCUCCUCCCCAGAUCUCCAGCUCCCUGACCCUCAAACUCCAACUCCAACACCAGCUCUGCCCCAGGUCUCCAGCUCCACAAUCCUCAAACUACAACAGCAGCACCAGCUCCCCUGGGGAUCUCCAGCUCAAUGACUCUCAGACUUGGGAGGCAGCUCCAGCUCCCACCAAGCCUCCAGCUCCACAACCUUCAAACUAGAACAGCAGCACCAGCUACUCCCUGGGUCUCCAGCUCCCUCAAAAUUCAACUAUAGCACUGGCUGUUCCCCAGCGCCACCAGCUCCACAACCCUCAACUUACACGGUGGUAGCACCAGCUCCUCCCUAGGUCUCCAGCUACACGACCGUCAAACUUGAACUGCAACACCAGCUCCUCUUCGGCCUCCAGCUCCACAAUCCUCCAACAACAACAGCAACACCGGCUCCUCCCUGAAUCUCCAGCUCAACAACCCUCAGACUUGAGAGGCAGCACCGGCACCUCCCCAAGGCUCCAGCUCCAUGACCCUCAGAUUUGAACAGCGGUAGCACCAGCUCCUGUCCAGGUCUCCAGCUUCAUGAUCCUUAAACUAGAACAGCAGCACCACCACCUCCCUAGGUUUCCAGCUCCACGACCCUAAGACAUGAAUGGCAGGACCGGGUUCCCCGCUAGGGCUCCAGCUCCAAGACCCACAGAUAUAAACGGCAGCACCGGCUCUUCCUGGGAUCUCCAGCUCCACAGCCUUCAAACACGAUCAGCAGCACCAGCUCCCCUCUGGUUCUCCAGCUCCACAAUCCUCAGACAUGAACAGCAGCACAGGCUCCUCCUUGGGUCUCCAGCUUCUCUACCCUCAGACUAGAACAGCAACACUUGUUCCUCCCUGGGUCUCCAGCUCUUACAAGUCUCAGACUUGAAAGGCAGCACUGGCUCCUCAGAAAGUUUCUGGCUCCAAGCUGGUGCUGCUGUCCUAGUUUGAAGGUCAUGGAGCUGGAGACCCGGGGAGGAACCAUUUGAACAGCAGCACUGGCCCCUCCCCGGGUCUCAGGCUCCACGACCCUCAGACUUAAAAAGCCGUAGUACGGGCUUCUCCCUGGGUCUCCAUCUCUACAACCCUCAGACAUGAACAGCAGCAGCACCGCCCCCUCCCCCUGUCUCCAGUUCCACGAACCUCAAACUACAACAGCAGUACCGGCCUCUCCCCAGGUCUCCAGAUCCACGACCCUCAAAAUAGAAUGGCAUCACCGGCUCCUCCCUGGGUCUCCAGCUCCCAAACUCUCAAACUUCAAUUGACACACCGGACCCUCCCCACAGUUAAACAGCAGCACGGGCUGUUCCCCAAAGCUCCAGAUCCACGACCCUCUGACUUAAAGGGCGAUAGCACCAACUCCUCCCUAAGUCUCCAGUUCCACGACCCUCAAACUACACAGCAGCACCGGCUCCUCCUUGGGUCUCCAGCUUCACUACACUCAGACUAGAAUAGCAACACCGGUUCCUCCCUGGAACUCCAGCUCAAUGACUCUCAGACUUGAAAGGCAGCACCAGCUCCUCAAAAAGGUUCUGGCUCCAAGACCCUCGAACUAGAAUAGCAGCAGCUGCUGCAUCUUGGGUCUCCAGCUCCACAACCCUCAAAGUAGAAAAGCAGCCCUGGCUCCUCCCCGAGUCUCCAACUCCUCAAGUCUGAGGGUUGUAGAGCUGGAGACCCGGGGAGGAGUCAGUGCUGCUGUUCUAGUUUGAGGGUCAUGGAUCUGGAGACCCAGGGUGGAGCCGGUGCUGCUGUUCUAGUGUGAGGGUCAUGGAGCUGGAAGACCCCGGGAGUCACACUUAAAUUGGCAAAAUACAGCACCUUGUCUCAUUUGAACAAGACAUCUGGAGCCUGGAGAUCCCAGGGCUGAUAUGGCAACAGUGCGAUGCCCCCCAUGGAUAUGUUCCUCAGCAUGUUAACCUUUCAGCUUCACAUCCGCAUCCUCAUGGUCACAAGAUGGCUGACAAGCUCCAGCUCUCCCAUCCCUAGAAAGGCUUCAGCUGGCAAAGCAACGCAAAUGGCUGAGCGUCGAGGAUAGAAGUGGCUGAACAGCGAGCAGAGAAGCAACUGAGCAUCGGAGGUUGGAGAUAGAUGCAGCUAACUUCA
rnacentral:lncRNA from 1 species